GGUCAAAGUCAUCUAAUUUUGACGGUGAACUUUGGAUGACUGUUGGCAAAAACAAGAUUGCAGUUCUCUGUGCCUCUUAAAACUCUUUUGUUUGGAUAGGCUUUGAGUAAGCUGUGACAUU
rfam:Musa acuminata subsp. malaccensis Doubled-haploid Pahang (DH-Pahang) genomic chromosome, chr6